rnacentral:lncRNA from 1 species
AAGAGAAAGGAGAGAGUGAGAGUGGGAUGUCGUAUAAAGGAAGGAGGUGGCAGAACCCAGCUACCACUAUCUCCCUCUCUUUUCCCACAGUGCUGGAGAAGAAAGUGGAUGCCCAGUAUUGUUUUCUUCCUCCUUUCUCUGUCAUCUAUAUUAUUUUACUCCUUUUAAUCUCUAAAUGCUUAUCGUGUGGAGGUUAACCAAGAGUUGACCCAACCUUUGAAUCGCCAUGAAUCCC